rnacentral:rRNA from 1 species
UACCUCGUCAACCAUCGGACGUGCUCGUGGCUCGACCAUCCACCUGGUGUACGGUUAUCGCGCGGCAAGAGAAACCGACCGAAAGAAAUGGGUUGAGGUGUAGAACUAGAAGGAGGGUAGGGGUUGUAAGUGCGGAGGAGGAGGGACUUCGUUAGGGUGCGGCGGUACCGGAGCUCGUGUGGGGAAGUGUAGCAGAGGUGUCGGAGGAAGGUCGAGAGAAGAGCGAACGGAGGCCCUCCAGGGCACGAGAAGAAGUUCCUCCUGAAACGUAAGUUCCUUCCCCGGUAGAAGUUUCGACGGACGGACUAGUUACUACUGUGUGACAACCUUGUUGAACCGAUAGAGGACCUACAUCAACUUCACAUGAAGUUCGAUAGCCUACUCGACAGCGAUAAGACCUUCGGCUUUGGCACCAUACACCAAUAUACCCGGGAGAUAGAGGGUUUCGGGUAAGAGAGUCGGAGCGAGUCGGGGGAGGAACAAUCAAAGGGUCGGGUAAGAGUGGGAGAGGGUAAGGGAGUAGGGGAGCAGGUUAGGUUAGCUGGACCCGCUUGUCGGGAUGGCUAUCCGCUCUCGCGGCGGCGGCCGCUUAGGGAAGUAGGAAACGGAGCUAGCGAUGGAAAUAGGAGACGGAGCUAGCGAGGGAGGGUACAACGGAGGAACAGGGCGACAAGAUACGGUCGGCUGCUUAAGGAGGUCGCGUACGUGUGCCCUUUCUCUAGUGAACCUCAUCUUGAUGGGUGUAUAUUCUUAACCGUCCUUUCCCCUACCGGUGCCAAGUGAGUCAGCGUCUACUACCGCUCCGCUGUUUCUGCAUGUCACACGGGUCGAGUAGGGCACAAGCUAACCCGACCCCGCGAGUACCGCCGCGACUUUCCUUAGAGGAUC